rnacentral:rRNA from 1 species
CCUACGGGUGGCAGCAGUAGGGAAUCUUUCACAAUGGGCGAAAGCCUGAUGGAGCAACGCCGCGUGCAGGAUGAAGGCCUUCGGGUUGUAAACUGCUUUUAUAAGCGAGAAAUAUGAUGGUAACUUAUGAAUAAGGAUCGGCUAACUACGUGCCAGCAGCCGCGGUCAUACGUAGGAUCCGAGCAUUAUCCGGAGUGACUGGGUGUAAAGAGUUGCGUAGGUGGCAUAAUAAGUAGCUAGUGAAAUCUGGUGGCUCAACCAUUCAGACUAUUAGCUAAACUGUUAAGCUCGAGACCGUUAGAGGUAACUGGAAUUUCUAGUGUAGGAGUGAAAUCCGUAGAUAUUAGAAGGAACACCGAUAGCGUAGGCAGGUUGCUGGGACGGUUCUGACACUAAGGCACGAAAGCGUAGGGAGCAAACGGGAUUAGAUACCCGAGUAGUC